rnacentral:tRNA from 1 species
UCCCUGGAGGACUAAUGGUUAGGCCACAGCGCUCUCACCACAGCAGCCCAGGUUUGAUCCCUGGCCAGGGAA